UUUUUUUUUCACCCUGCUUUAAAAGCCCUUGGGCCCUUCCCAACUGGGUGCCAGCCAACUGCGGCUGCCUGGGACACUCCAUCUUAAGUCCCUGUGCCUCUGCUGUGUGUUACUGAGUGCCUAGGCCAUGCCAGCCUGUAUUCAUCUGUACCAUGACCUGAAGAGGCAGAGGCUAUCGUUGUUGGUCCGGUCUCCACCUGGGGAAACUGAGGUGUCUGUGUGGUGAUGAGCAGGGCUUCAUCCAGUGCCCCUGUCCCCACCGAGGGGACUAUGGGAGCCAUGGAGGGUGCGUGAGCAGCAGGUGAGACUGGAGCCAGCUGAAAACUGGGAGACCGACCCAGCCAACAAACAAUGUCGGUCUCUGUCCUGGCACCCGCAGGAAACAAGCUCCUACUUCCAGAAAAAGUGCUCCUGGGACUCAAGGAUACCAAGUAAACUCUCUGAGCCUGUUUCUUCAUCUGCAAAGGGGAAUAACAGGGCCAGCAUCACCUGCU
rnacentral:lncRNA from 1 species